AUGUGCAAGCGGGUUGGGACCUCACCUCGGUGAGGGCUCCAGCUUGUCUGAAUUAUUCACCCAUGUCUUUUGCGCACUUCUUGUUUCCUGGGCGGGUUCGCCCGCCACCAGGACCAAACCAUAAACCUUUUUGUAAUUGCAAUCAGCGUCAGUAAACAAUGUAAUUAUUACAACUUUCAACAACGGAUCUCUUGGUUCUGGCAUCGAUGAAGAACGCAGCGAAAUGCGAUACGUAGUGUGAAUUGCAGAAUUCAGUGAAUCAUCGAAUCUUUGAACGCACAUUGCGCCCUUUGGUAUUCCAAAGGGCAUGCCUGUUCGAGCGUCAUUUGUACCCUCAAGCUUUGCUUGGUGUUGGGCGUCUUUGUCUCUCACGAGACUCGCCUUAAAAUGAUUGGCAGCCGACCUACUGGUUUCGGAGCGCAGCACAAUUCUUGCACUUUGAAUCAGCCUUGGUUGAGCAUCCAUCAAGACCACAUUUUUUUCAACUUUUGACCUCGGAUCAGGUAGGGAUACCCGCUGAACUUAAGCAUAUCAAAAGCCGGAGGAAA
rnacentral:rRNA from 1 species